AUGCAAGUCGAGCGGAUGACGGGAGCUUGCUCCUUGAUUCAGCGGCGGACGGGUGAGUAAUGCCUAGGAAUCUGCCUGGUAGUGGGGGACAACGUUUCGAAAGGAACGCUAAUACCGCAUACGUCCUACGGGAGAAAGCAGGGGACCUUCGGGCCUUGCGCUAUCAGAUGAGCCUAGGUCGGAUUAGCUUGAUGGUGAGGUAAUGGCUCACCAAGGCGACGAUCCGUAACUGGUCUGAGAGGAUGAUCAGUCACACUGGAACUGAGACACGGUCCAGACUCCUACGGGAGGCAGCAGUGGGGAAUAUUGGACAAUGGGCGAAAGCCUGAUCCAGCCAUGCCGCGUGUGUGAAGAAGGUCUUCGGAUUGUAAAGCACUUUAAGUUGGGAGGAAGGGCAGUAAGUUAAUACCUUGCUGUUUUGACGUUACCGACAGAAUAAGCACCGGCUAACUCUGUGCCAGCAGCCGCGGUAAUACAGAGGGUGCAAGCGUUAAUCGGAAUUACUGGGCGUAAAGCGCGCGUAGGUGGUUUGUUAAGUUGGAUGUGAAAGCCCCGGGCUCAACCUGGGAACUGCAUCCAAAACUGGCAAGCUAGAGUA
rnacentral:rRNA from 1 species